ACAUUUUUGUUAUUGGGUCUGCUUCCGACUUAUUGCAGUUCCUUCUGCAGCCUACAUGAUAUUACAUUGGUAUGCCUGUAGUGUUAUCGUUUUUUCUGUGUUUACUGAUGCUUUAUGUAUGUUGAAGGGUUCCGCUUUUGAGAAACAACUAUGGUGAGGCUACCAAAUCUAAUUCUAGUGAUUCUACCACCUUCCGCCGUCCUCUUUCGCCGCAUCUACCCAAUUCCCGUGGCUCUCUUUCCCAAACCCUAGGAGCCUUGAUGUAUUCACGGCGGAAACCGCAGCUCACCCCUCACCUUCUCCGUAGUUUGUUGGAGAGUUUUUCACAUCAUUAUAUGUUUUUGGUUCACCACCUCUAUGAUUCGUCGGGAAUCUUACUGAUGAUCCUUACUUGAGCCUUUUCAGGAAGGUAAAUAGGUAAUUCCUCCUGUUUUUGUUACAUUGGUAUUGUUGCUCCUCAUCUUAUCAAGUAAUUUACCUGUGCUGAUUUCUCCACUUCUGACUCCCCUAUGAUCAUGUGUAAAAACAAAAACAAUUGCCAGUUGGGAGAUGAAAAUUGAUUGCUCUUUAAGUCCUAUUGGUCUUGAAAUUAAAUUAGUGAAUAUUUGUCAUAGCUCAUUCCAAUACUCUUAGAAGUUUGAGAGACUUCGAAACACCAUAGUGUAGUUUUUCCUCCUUCAUAAAUCUAGUAUUUUUUUAUUAGUUAUAAUCUAUCAGCUUAGAUAUAUUCUUAGGAAUUCCUAAAAGUUGUACCUCCUUACACUAUAUUGAAUGUAAUGUAUGCUUUUGUCUAUAUACGUAACUUUUUUUGUGCCAUGAACCUUUGUUCUGAUAACCCAAACUUUAUAUUCUGUUGCAGGUAUAGUAGUUUAGAGUACUAUCUUUCUCAAGCUAGAUAUUCCUAUAUUUUCUUCCUACCCAGUACCCAAUCUAUGGUAUAAUAUGGCUCCCUUCUGUACAAGAUUAUUGAUGAUUCAAGUGGUAAUGGUAUAUGUAGAUCAAGAUCAACAAGUUAUCUUGAAGCUAAGCUAGCAUAGCAAUAGGUUUACUUGGUGAUUAGUUUGUACGUAGUCAAGAAGUAGUUUUUAUUUAGUUUUGGACUAUCUUGUAGACAAAAUGAUGUUAGGAAGUUGUUUUUGUUUUAACAUAUUCCUUUUAUUUCGGUUAACUAGACUCUGGAAAUUAAUUUAAUGUAUGAAUGAUUUAUAUUGUUAUAUAUCACUUUUUCUAAAUUAAUCAAA